CCUCCAUCAUCCUCUAGAUUCUUCUUCCUCUUCUCUUUUUAUCCUCCCUAGCCGCGCCACAAGAAACCAGAACAGCGACCAUGACUUCCUCCUCUUGCUCAUCCCUUGUCCCGACUAUGGCAGGAAGGUCAUCACCUUCAUCUCCAGGGCCGAAGUCAGGUUCUACGAGUCAACAAAGAUACUUUGUGGACUCAUGAUAUCCCGUGAGACGUACCUGCCGGAGCUUAGUCGCCAUGGCCUAUCCCACCCGCACAGAUUGCAGCACCCUCUAUCUGUGCAUCCAGCUUCGUCUUUGGACCAGAGAUCUCGCUGGGACCUCAUAAACUCUCAUUGCCAUUUUCAUCAACCUGGACAGCCGCAUCUACACCUGACAGAUCAGCUAAAUCAGUCUUAGCAUAAUUCUUAUUUGAGGAACUAUUUUUACCUGAAUUUUUUGGCAACAACAUGCAUGAUAUGGUCAA